GAUGAACGCUGGCGGCGUGCCUAAUACAUGCAAGUCGAGCGAACGGACGAGAAGCUUGCUUCUCUGAUGUUAGCGGCGGACGGGUGAGUAACACGUGGAUAACCUACCUAUAAGACUGGGAUAACUUCGGGAAACCGGAGCUAAUACCGGAUGAUAUUUUGAACCGCAUGGUUCAAAAGUGAAAGACGGUCCUGCUGUCACUUAUAGAUGGAUCCGCGCUGCAUUAGCUAGUUGGUAAGGUAACGGCUUACCAAGGCAACGAUGCAUAGCCGACCUGAGAGGGUGAUCGGCCACACUGGAACUGAGACACGGUCCAGACUCCUACGGGAGGCAGCAGUAGGGAAUCUUCCGCAAUGGGCGAAAGCCUGACGGAGCAACGCCGCGUGAGUGAUGAAGGUCUUCGGAUCGUAAAACUCUGUUAUUAGGGAAGAACAUAUGUGUAAGUAACUGUGCACAUCUUGACGGUACCUAAUCAGAAAGCCACGGCUAACUACGUG
rnacentral:rRNA from 1 species